rnacentral:rRNA from 1 species
UACGUAGGGUGCGAGCGUUGUCCGGAAUUAUUGGGCGUAAAGGGCUCGUAGGCGGUCUGUCGCGUCGGUAGUGAAAACUCAGGGCUUAACCCUGAGCCUGCUUCCGAUACGGGCAGACUAGAGGUAUGCAGGGGAGAGUGGAAUUCCUGGUGUAGCGGUGAAAUGCGCAGAUAUCAGGAGGAACACCGGUGGCGAAGGCGGUUCUCUGGGCAUUACCUGACGCUGAGGAGCGAAAGUGUGGGGAGCGAACAGG